rnacentral:rRNA from 1 species
GGGGAAUAUUGGGCAAUGGGCGCAAGCCUGACCCAGCAACGCCGCGUGAAGGAAGAAGGCUUUCGGGUUGUAAACUUCUUUUAGCAGGGACGAAGACGUGACGGUACCUGCAGAAUAAGCUCCGGCUAACUACGUGCCAGCAGCCGCGGUAAUACGUAGGGAGCAAGCGUUAUCCGGAUUUACUGGGUGUAAAGGGCGCGUAGGCGGGAGUAUAAGUCAGAUGUGAAAUCUGGGGGCUCAACCCCCAAACUGCAUUUGAAACUGUAUUUCUUGAGUGAUGGAGAGGCAAGUGGAAUUCCUAGUGUAGCGGUGAAAUGCGUAGAUAUUAGGAGGAACACCAGUGGCGAAGGCGACUUGCUGGACAUUAACUGACGCUGAGGCGCGAAAGCGUGGGGAGCAAAC